GGGCUGGGGCUCAGUGGCAGAGCACUUGCCUGGCAUGUGUGAAGCUCUGGGUUUGAUCCCAGCAGCACA
rnacentral:tRNA from 1 species